UUAAGCGACCAAGCGUACACGGUGGAUGCCCUGGCAGUCAGAGGCGAUGAAGGACGUGCUAAUCUGCGAUAAGCGCCGGUAAGGUGAUAUGAACCGUUAUAACCGGCGAUUUCCGAAUGGGGAAACCCAGUGUGACUCGUCACACUAUCAUUAACUGAAUCCAUAGGUUAAUGAGGCGAACCGGGGGAACUGAAACAUCUAAGUACCCCGAGGAAAAGAAAUCAACCGAGAUUCCCCCAGUAGCGGCGAGCGAACGGGGAGGAGCCCAGAGCCUGAAUCAGCAUGUGUGUUAGUGGAAGCGUCUGGAAAGGCGCGCGAUACAGGGUGACAGCCCCGUACACAAAAGCGCAUAUGCUGUGAGCUCGAUGAGUAGGGCGGGACACGUGGUAUCCUGUCUGAAUAUGGGGGGACCAUCCUCCAAGGCUAAAUACUCCUGACUGACCGAUAGUGAACCAGUACCGUGAGGGAAAGGCGAAAAGAACCCCGGCGAGGGGAGUGAAACAGAACCUGAAACCGUGUACGUACAAGCAGUGGGAGCACAGGUUUACCUGUGUGACUGCGUACCUUUUGUAUAAUGGGUCAGCGACUUAUAUUCUGUAGCAAGGUUAACCGUAUAGGGGAGCCGAAGGGAAACCGAGUCUUAACCGGGCGUUAAGUUGCAGGGUAUAGACCCGAAACCCGGUGAUCUAGCCAUGGGCAGGUUGAAGGUUGGGUAACACUAACUGGAGGACCGAACCGACUAAUGUUGAAAAAUUAGCGGAUGACCUGUGGCUGGGGGUGAAAGGCCAAUCAAACCGGGAGAUAGCUGGUUCUCCCCGAAAGCUAUUUAGGUAGCGCCUCGUGAAUUCAUCUCCGGGGGUAGAGCACUGUUUCGGCUAGGGGGCCAUCCCGGCUUACCAACCCGAUGCAAACUGCGAAUACCGGAGAAUGUUAUCACGGGAGACACACGGCGGGUGCUAACGUCCGUCGUGAAGAGGGAAACAACCCAGACCGCCAGCUAAGGUCCCAAAGUCAUGGUUAAGUGGGAAACGAUGUGGGAAGGCCCAGACAGCCAGGAUGUUGGCUUAGAAGCAGCCAUCAUUUAAAGAAAGCGUAAUAGCUCACUGGUCGAGUCGGCCUGCGCGGAAGAUGUAACGGGGCUAAACCAUGCACCGAAGCUGCGGCAGCGACGCUUAUGCGUUGUUGGGUAGGGGAGCGUUCUGUAAGCCUGCGAAGGUGGCCUGUGAGGGUUGCUGGAGGUAUCAGAAGUGCGAAUGCUGACAUAAGUAACGAUAAAGCGGGUGAAAAGCCCGCUCGCCGGAAGACCAAGGGUUCCUGUCCAACGUUAAUCGGGGCAGGGUGAGUCGACCCCUAAGGCGAGGCCGAAAGGCGUAGUCGAUGGGAAACGGGUUAAUAUUCCCGUACUUGGUGUUACUGCGAAGGGGGGACGGAGAAGGCUAUGUUGGCCGGGCGACGGUUGUCCCGGUUUAAGCGUGUAGGCUGACUUUCCAGGCAAAUCCGGAGAGUCAAGGCUGAGGCGUGACGACGAGGCACCACGGUGCUGAAGCAACAAAUGCCCUGCUUCCAGGAAAAGCCUCUAAGCAUCAGGUAACAUCAAAUCGUACCCCAAACCGACACAGGUGGUCAGGUAGAGAAUACCAAGGCGCUUGAGAGAACUCGGGUGAAGGAACUAGGCAAAAUGGUGCCGUAACUUCGGGAGAAGGCACGCUGACAUGUAGGUGAAGUGGUUUACCCAUGGAGCUGAAGUCAGUCGAAGAUACCAGCUGGCUGCAACUGUUUAUUAAAAACACAGCACUGUGCAAACACGAAAGUGGACGUAUACGGUGUGACGCCUGCCCGGUGCCGGAAGGUUAAUUGAUGGGGUCAGCGCAAGCGAAGCUCCUGAUCGAAGCCCCGGUAAACGGCGGCCGUAACUAUAACGGUCCUAAGGUAGCGAAAUUCCUUGUCGGGUAAGUUCCGACCUGCACGAAUGGCGUAAUGAUGGCCAGGCUGUCUCCACCCGAGACUCAGUGAAAUUGAACUCGCUGUGAAGAUGCAGUGUACCCGCGGCAAGACGGAAAGACCCCGUGAACCUUUACUAUAGCUUGACACUGAACAUUGAGCCUUGAUGUGUAGGAUAGGUGGGAGGCUUUGAAGCGUGGACGCCAGUCUGCGUGGAGCCAACCUUGAAAUACCACCCUUUAAUGUUUGAUGUUCUAACGUGGACCCGUGAUCCGGGUUGCGGACAGUGUCUGGUGGGUAGUUUGACUGGGGCGGUCUCCUCCUAAAGAGUAACGGAGGAGCACGAAGGUUGGCUAAUCCUGGUCGGACAUCAGGAGGUUAGUGCAAUGGCAUAAGCCAGCUUGACUGCGAGCGUGACGGCGCGAGCAGGUGCGAAAGCAGGUCAUAGUGAUCCGGUGGUUCUGAAUGGAAGGGCCAUCGCUCAACGGAUAAAAGGUACUCCGGGGAUAACAGGCUGAUACCGCCCAAGAGUUCAUAUCGACGGCGGUGUUUGGCACCUCGAUGUCGGCUCAUCACAUCCUGGGGCUGAAGUAGGUCCCAAGGGUAUGGCUGUUCGCCAUUUAAAGUGGUACGCGAGCUGGGUUUAGAACGUCGUGAGACAGUUCGGUCCCUAUCUGCCGUGGGCGCUGGAGAACUGAGGGGGGCUGCUCCUAGUACGAGAGGACCGGAGUGGACGCAUCACUGGUGUUCGGGUUGUCAUGCCAAUGGCACUGCCCGGUAGCUAAAUGCGGAAGAGAUAAGUGCUGAAAGCAUCUAAGCACGAAACUUGCCCCGAGAUGAGUUCUCCCUGAGACUUAGAGUCUCCUGAAGGAACGUUGAAGACGACGACGUUGAUAGGCCGGGUGUGUAAGCGCAGCGAUGCGUUGAGCUAACCGGUACUAAUGAACCGUGAGGCUUAACCUU
rnacentral:rRNA from 1 species